rnacentral:rRNA from 1 species
UAGGGAAUCUUCGGCAAUGGACGAAAGUCUGACCGAGCAACGCCGCGUGAGUGAAGAAGGUUUUCGGAUCGUAAAACUCUGUUGUUAGAGAAGAACAAGGACGUUAGUAACUGAACGUCCCCUGACGGUAUCUAACCAGAAAGCCACGGCUAACUACGUGCCAGCAGCCGCGGUAAUACGUAGGUGGCAAGCGUUGUCCGGAUUUAUUGGGCGUAAAGCGAGCGCAGGCGGUUUCUUAAGUCUGAUGUGAAAGCCCCCGGCUCAACCGGGGAGGGUCAUUGGAAGCUGGGAGACUUGAGUGCAGAAGAGGAUGGUGGAAAUCCAGGUGUAGCGGUGAAAUGCGUGGAUAUAUGGAGGAACACCAGUGGCGAAGGCGGCACUCUGGUCUGUAACUGACGAUGAGGCUCGAAAGCGUGGGGAGCAAACAGG